rnacentral:rRNA from 1 species
AGAUUGAACGCUGGCGGCAUGCCUUACACAUGCAAGUCGAACGGCAGCACGGGAGCAAUCCUGGUGGCGAGUGGCGAACGGGUGAGUAAUAUAUCGGAACGUGCCCAGUCGUGGGGGAUAACGCAGCGAAAGCUGUGCUAAUACCGCAUACGAUCUCUGGAUGAAAGCGGGGGACUCGCAAGGGCCUCGCGCGAUUGGAGCGGCCGAUAUCAGAUUAGGUAGUUGGUGGGUAAGGCCCACAAGCGACGAUCUGUAGCUGGUCUGAGAGGACGACCAGCCACACUGGAACUGAGACACGGUCCAGACUCUACGGGAGGCAGCAGU